rnacentral:rRNA from 1 species
AUCGCUGCCCCCACCACACAACACUCCCCAUGCGGGGUCGUUGUGAAGGCAGGGACACACACUGGCCUCCCGUACGCAUCGUCGUGCGGAUGGCUUAAAUUCGAGUCCUCGAUGCUCGUCGUCGCGACACUACGGUGGUUGAUUCAACCUCGGUGACGCGUCUCGACCUCGACGUCGACUUCACGGACUCCUUCACGACCCUUCGAACGCCGCCCCUUAAAAGGACGACGCUCUCGAC